rnacentral:rRNA from 1 species
GAUGAACGCUGGCGGCGUGCUUAACACAUGCAAGUCGAACGGAGAAUACUCGCUGAUGCGAGUUUGCUCAAAUCUUGAGUGUUCUUAGUGGCGGACGGGUGAGUAACGCGUGGGUAACCUGCCCUAUGCAGGGGGACAACAGCUGGAAACGGCUGCUAAUACCGCAUAAGCGCACAGUACUGCAUGGUACAGUGUGAAAAGCCGAGACGGCAUAGGAUGGACCCGCGUCUGAUUAGCUAGUUGGUGAGGUAACGGCUCACCAAGGCGACGAUCAGUAGCCGGCCUGAGAGGGUGAACGGCCACAUUGGGACUGAGACACGGCCCAA